CACGUAGGGGGCAAGCGUUGUCCGGAUUUAUUGGGCGUAAAGAGCGUGUAGGCGGCUUGGUAGGUCCGCUGUGAAAACUCGAGGCUCAACCUCGAGAUGUCGGCGGAAACCACUUGGCUAGAGUCCGGAAGAGGAGAGUGGAAUUCCCGGUGUAGCGGUGAAAUGCGCAGAUAUCGGGAAGAACACCUAUGGCGAAGGCAGCUCUCUGGGACGGUAC
rnacentral:rRNA from 1 species